rnacentral:rRNA from 1 species
CCUACGGGUGGCAGCAGUGGGGAAUAUUGCGCAAUGGGCGAAAGCCUGACGCAGCGACGCCGCGUGAGGGAUGAAGGUCUUCGGAUCGUAAAACUCUGUCAGCAGGGAAGAACGGUCACUGUGCUAAUCAGCAGUGAAUUGACGGUACCUGCAAAGGAAGCACCGGCUAACUCCGUGCCAGCAGCCGCGGUAAUACGGAGGGUGCGGGCGUUAAUCGGAAUUACUGGGAGUAAAGCGCUCGGCGGCGGUAUGUCAAGGGAAGGGGGAAAACCCCGAGCUUAACGUGGGAACUGCCGUUGAAACUGGCAAACUUGAGUGUGUGAGAGGAUAGUGGAAUUCCAGGUGUAGGAGUGAAAUCCGUAGAUAUCUGGAGGAACAUCAGUGGCGAAGGCGACUAUCUGGCACAUAACUGACGCUGAGGAGCGAAAGCGUGGGUAGCAAACAGGAUUAGAUACCCGAGUAGUC